rnacentral:rRNA from 1 species
CCUACGGGAGGCUGCAGUGAGGAAUAUUGGUCAAUGGGCGGGAGCCUGAACCAGCCAAGUCGCGUGAGGGAAGACGGUCCUAUGGAUUGUAAACCUCUUUUGUCGGGGAGCAAUGCCGGGCACGCGUGCCCGGAGGGAGAGUACCCGCAGAAUAAGCAUCGGCUAACUCCGUGCCAGCAGCCGCGGUAAUACGGAGGAUGCGAGCUUUAUCCGGAUUUAUUGGGUUUAAAGGGUGCGCAGGCGGAAGAUCAAGUCAGCGGUAAAAUUGAGAGGCUCAACCUCUUCGAGCCGUUGAAACUGGUUUGCUUGAGUGAGCGAGAAGUAUGCGGAAUGCGUGGUGUAGCGGUGAAAUGCAUAG